rnacentral:lncRNA from 1 species
ACACGCGCACGCACACACACACACACACACACACACACACACACACACACACACACACACACACACACACACACACACACACACACACACACANNNNNNNNNNACACACACACACACACACACACACACACACACACACACACACACACACACACACACACACACACACACACACACACACACACACACACACAGUCCUCUGCUGAGGACAAGGACAAGGGCCAGAAUGUCAGCGCCGUGGACUGCUACUACAUGUGCCAGGCAAGUA